rnacentral:tRNA from 1 species
GGGGUAGUGGAGUAGUGGUAGAGCACUCGCCUAGCAUGUGUGAGGUCCUGAGUUUGAUCCUCAGCACCACA